rnacentral:rRNA from 1 species
AUUGAACGCUGGCGGAAUGCUUUACACAUGCAAGCCGAACGGUAACAGGUUAAGCUGACGAGUGGCGAACGGGUGAGUAAUACAUCGGAACGUGCCCAGUCGUGGGGGAUAACGUAGAGAAAUUUACGCUAAUACCGCAUACGAUCUAAGGAUGAAAGCGGGGGACCGUAAGGCCUCGCGCGAUUGGAGCGGCCGAUGUCAGAUUAGGUAGUUGGUGGGGUAAAGGCCUACCAAGCCGACGAUCUGUAGCUGGUCUGAGAGGAUGAUCCGCCACACUGGGACUUAGACACGGGCCAGACGCCUACGGGAGGCAGCAGUGGGGAAUAUUGGAAAAUGGGGGGAACCCUGAUCCAGCCAUGCCGCGUGUGUGAAGAAGGCCUUAUGGUUGUAAAGCACUUUAAGCGAGGAGGAGGCUCUUUUGGUUAAUACCCAAGAUGAGUGGACGUUACUCGCAGAAUAAGCACCGGCUAACUCUGUGCCAGCCGCCGCCGUAA